rnacentral:rRNA from 1 species
GGGCUUAAAGUGUGCGCAGGCGGUUAUGCAAGACAGAGGUGAAAUCCCCGGGCGUCAGCCUCGGGAACGUAGCCUUUCGUUGACUGCAUAGCUAGAGUGCGGCAGAGGGGGAGUGGAAUUCCGCGUGUAGCAGUGAAAUAGCGUAGAUAUGCGGAGGAACACCGAUGGCGAAGGCAAUCCCCUGGGCCUGCACUGACGCUCAUGCACGAAAGCGUGGGGAGCAAACAGGAUUAGAUACCCUGGUAGUCCACGCCCUAAACGAUGUCAACCGGUUGUUGGGAGGGUUUCUUCUCAGUAACGUAGCUAACGCGUGAAGUUGACCGCCUGGGGAGUACGGCCGCAAGGUUGAAACU